AUCAUUUUGUAGUUCAUAAGCACGAUGCCUGGGUAUCCACACACAUGCAUGAAAUAUGCCUCCCUCAAACCUUGUUACAACAUUAGCACAUGACUAUUCUGAGA